UUGGUAGUAUGAAAUCCCCAACUUUGAUUGAAAUUAGAAAACAAAUUAGGACCACCAAUUAAAGCAAACAUUGAAAUCAAUAGAGUUAGAAAAACAAUUAUUAUAAGUACCAAAAAAAACAAUUAUUAUAGAAAAAAAAAUUAAACAAUAGAUUUAGAAAAUCAAAAGACAUAACCUGUUUUUUAAGAAACCCUUUAGAUACCUGCAUAUCAAUCGACCAAAGAAAAUACAUAAGUCAUUAAAGAACAAUGGUGAAACCCAUGAAAUCCAAAGCCAAGAAAAAACAAUACCUCUUGAACCGGUUCCAACGCUGUGUCCUUGUCCAUGGCGGUUCAGACGAAGUCGUUGUGGUUCAUUCUUUGCUUGCAGAAGAGAAUCAAUUCAAGGAAUAGCAGAGGGAGAAGAGGUCGAAAAAAGAGAGAAAUAGGGGGAGGUUUGAGAUUCAAAAUUUGAAUUUUGGAAGAUGGGGGAAUUGAUUUGUGUUUUGUUCAAAGUUGUGAAGAGAGAAGGAUGUUUCACAAAAUAGUGAUAGGUGUUGUUUUUGAGAUGUGAAGAUUAAUCUCAUUUGCUAAAAGAAGAACAAUUCUGAAACCUGAAAGUGACGUGACC
rnacentral:lncRNA from 1 species